UACGUAGGGUGCAAGCGUUGUCCGGAAUUAUUGGGCGUAAAGAGCUCGUAGGCGGUUUGUUGCGUCGGCUGUGAAAUCCCGAGGCUCAACCUCGGGUCUGCAGUCGAUACGAGCAAACUAGAGUGUUGCAGGGGAGACUGGAAUUCCUGGUGUAGCGGUGAAAUGCGCAGAUAUCAGGAGGAACACCGGUGGCGAAGGCGGUUCUCUGGGCAUGUCCUGACGGCUGAGGAGCGAAAGUGUGGGGAGCGAACAGG
rnacentral:rRNA from 1 species